UCGCCUCUUGCUCCCCCCAUAAGAGGUCCAGCCUGCCCAGUGACUUAGUUCAACGGCCGCGGUACCCUAACCGUGCGAAGGUAGCGUAAUCACUUGUCUUCCAAAUAGAGACUAGUAUGAAAGGCAUCACGAGAAUUUAACUGUCUCCUUUUUCCAAUCAGUGAAACUAAUCUUCCCGUGAAGAAGCGGGAAUCCGAAAAUAAGACGAGAAGACCCUAUGGAGCUUUAAACACUAACCACCUGCCCAACCCUAUAAAACCCCGGUUCCUAAACCAACGCACCAUGACUACGUGUUUUUGAUUGGGGCGACCACGGAAAAUAAUCAAACCUCCGUAAUGAAAACCUACAAGCCACAGCUUUAAGUAUCAACAAAUUGACAUCCAUUGACCCAAUAUAUUGACUAAUGAACCAA
rnacentral:rRNA from 1 species